GUCGGUCUGAUUAGCAGACAGUUUGAAGGUUAGUUCAUAUUGUAUUUCUCAUCUCAGUUAGUGCCGCUCCAUGGCCUUCUUUUUGAGUCUUCCUCACGUUCUGAUUCGUUUCUGCAAUUCAGCCUCUUUUGCCGUAAGGCGCAUUAAAAAGGUCAAUUAUUAUGUCGAACAAAAUCCUCGGAACCGUUAAGUGGUUUAACUCAGAAAAAGGUUUUGGUUUUAUUUCUCCUGAAAACGGCAGCAAGGACGUUUUUGUCCACUUUUCUGCUAUUCAGGGCACUGAUUAUCGCUCGCUUGACGAAGGCCAGCGCGUUGAAUUUUCUGUUGAGCAGGGUCCUAAAGGACCGUCAGCAGUUAACGUUGUAGGGCUUUAAUAUUACCCUUU
rnacentral:sRNA from 1 species